rnacentral:tRNA from 1 species
GUACUCGUAGCGAAAUUGGAUAUCGCUUCAGACUCCGACUCUGAAGGCUGCGGGUUCGAUUCCCGCCGAGUACA